rnacentral:rRNA from 1 species
CUUGAACGCUGGCGGCAUGCUUUACACAUGCAAGUCGAACGGCAGCGCGGGCUUCGGCCUGGCGGCGAGUGGCGAACGGGUGAGUAAUGCAUCUGAACGUGCCCAGUAGUGGGGGAUAGCCCGUCUAAAGCCGGAUUAAUACCGCAUACGACCUGAGGGUGUAAGCGGGGGACCGAAAGGCCUCGCGCUUUUGGAGCGUCCGCUGUCGGAUUAGCUAGUUGGUGGGGUAAAGGCUUACCAAGGCGACGAUCCGUAGCGGGUCUGAGAGGACGACCAGCCACACUGGGACUGAGACACGGCCCAGACUCCUACGGGAGGCAGCAGUGGGGAAUUUUGGACAAUGGGGGCAACCCUGAUCCAGCCAUGCCGCGUGCGGGAAGAAGGCCUUCGGGUUGUAAACCGCUUUUGUUCGGGAAGAAAUCCUCUGGGCUAAUACCCCGGGGGGAUGACGGUACCGGAAGAAUAAGCACCGGCUAACUACGUG